UUUCGUUCGUGAAGCAUGGAACAGUUUGCUGUGCGUUUUGAUGGUUUGAUGGAGGGUUUGGUUAUCGUACUGCAGCCAUCACCUUGGCUCGAUAUACACGGCAGGUUGUGUAUGGGUGCGUAAGAUCGAUCGAGAACUAAUCGGUGUUAUGUUUCAUCUAGUUUGAUCGGUUUAGAUGUUUUUUUUGUGUGUUGUUUUCCGUGGCCUAAAGUGUUGAAAAGGUUUCGUCUAGACUGGACCCGGCCGUACUUGAACUUGAAGUAGCACCUGCAAUUGAACGCAUAGCCACCGUUUUCCGACGCAUGUUUAUCAUGACCGACUAAGCCAAACCAUCAAGAAGAUCUCUACCCAUGGUAACGCUGAUAACGGCCCUAUCGCACGUCCCAAUCUACGGAACCGAUUGUGCAUCAGUAUCUCCACGAUACCGAUUUUGUGAUUCAUUUGGAGGACAGUUAAAAAUUUGCGUCACUAACGACGCAAACGCAGCGCAAUGAAACAAGUGACUCAGCUUAAUGACACAGAUUUGUAGCUGGAAUGUCGCCGCGGAGAUGUUCGAUUCGCAGUUUACUCUGCCUACUCUGGGUGUCAUCGGAUGGGGUGUUAAAUAUUGGGCAAAUAGGCGUGAUGGUGACUGGCCAGUCAUCGAUAAGCCUUAGAAAACAUGUUCACUGUAUGAGAGUGUGUUUGUGUGAGGGGAUUCGAAAGCGCCGUUUGGUUGAAUAAUCGAACACACGAACCGAUCGGGAAGCGUGUUCCGCGAGCGUUACGCAACGGCACAGAUAAACGCUUCAACUCCAACACAUCCCGGACUGCGGAUGAUAUCGGGCCGCUUGCAUUCCGGAGCUUCGGUGACAUAUGUAUACAGGCGUGUAGGCUGUACUGUAAUCCUUCGCUUCAAGUCGCAUCCGCGGAAAGUGUAGUGACACUUGACAGUAAAUAAACUACGCUGUCUGUCACAAGAACGUCCCAACCGGUACGGAUCUCCCGGUGUGAUGUUCGGGUGCUUCUGUGCUCUUGCGCCUGGCACGUGGCACGGGCGCGCUAACAAAAAUGCCGCACUGACGCUUACGCCUGGGUGGCGCGACACGUUACAGCGCCCAGAGACGCUACAACCCGCCAAGAUGCUGCAUUUUCAAACGGAAAAUGGAAACUUGCUGGUUACGGUGGUUGCAGUGCUGCACGGAUAAGUUUAUCUUCUUCCAUGUACCGAGCGCGUUACAAGUUCGCGAGCUUUCCUUCGCCAUCACAUUGCAUUUUACAACAACAACAAAAAAAACCGUGGAAAACAAAAACACAACCACUGGUGGGUUUCUCUCAAGACGAUCGCUUUUCACACCGCUACCCUACCCGAAAGUGGCGACGUGCGAGACGAUUUCUGCAACUGCAAGCAUGGCUACGCUCUGAUUGUUGGACUUUGCAAAACUCGUCCAAACGAUAAGUCGUUUCGGGUUUUCCUUUUCUGCUUCAACCACUGCAACGAAUAAAACGAAAUCUUCUCGUCUCUAGUGAGCAUCGAACAACUCAAUCGGCAAUCAGCACAAUCCCCGUAGCCUUUUGAAGAAGUGACAGACGAACGCAUAAAACGAAGCUGAAACAGUAUCCUGUCGGCACGUAUGCGUACAAGGAUGGGGUUUGUUGGUUCGCUAAAGUUUAUCGAAAACUAGUUACCAGCAUCGAUGUCACCGGCGUAGUUAGUGAGUUCUUCUUUUAGUGCUUCGAAGCGCUUGAUUUGCGUGAAGAUAAAAGAAGUACAACAUAAUGCUAGGAACAUCCGAUUUUCCUUUUCUCUUUCGUGUUUUACGGAUUCAACUGACUUAGUUGAAUUCCUUGAGUAGUUUUAACAGUCUUCAAAAAAUCAAAUAAAUUUAUUGUUUAAAGGUCAACACUCUAGAAGACUCCAAUACACACACUCCUGUACAACGCACAUCUACUAAGAUAGCCGUGCAUGGUAAUUAAAACCAACUUUUUCCAACUCCAA